AUAUUGGCGAGAGACCGAUAGCGAACAAGUACCGUGAGGGAAAGACGAAAAGCACUUUGGAAAGAGAGUUAAACAGUAUGUGAAAUUGUUAAAAGGGAAACGAUUGAAGUCAGUCGUGCUCUUUGGAUUCAGCCGGUUCUGCCGGUGUACUUCCAUUGAGUGGGGUCAACAUCAGUUUUGAUCGCUGGAUAAAGGCAGGAAGAAUGUAGCACCUCCGGGUGAACUUAUAGCUUUCUGUCACAUACAGUGGUUGGGACUGAGGAACGCAGCAUGCCUUUAUGGCCGGGAUUCGUCCACGUACAUGCUUAGGAUAUUGACAUAAUGGCUUUAAACGACCCGUCUUGAAACACGGACC
rnacentral:rRNA from 1 species